GAAAUACUGCUCAAUUCUGACUUUUUUCCUCAUAACUCGUAGUUUAUAUCUCACAAUUCUGACUUUUCUAUCAUAAUUCUGAGUUUACAUCUCGAAAUUCUGAGUUUGUCCUGUAAUUCUGAGUUUUUUCUUGUAAUUCUAAGUUUGCAUCUUUUAUAUCCUGUAACUCUUAGUUUAUAUCUCACAAUUUUUACUUUUUCUCAUAAUUCUGUUUUUAUAUUUCGCAGUUUUGGCUUUUUUUUUUCUCUAAAUUGAGGUUAUACUUGUAAAGAGGGCGCUAGCGGCGUCCGCGGCCCUGUGCUGUUCCACCCAGCGCCCAACUGCAGGAUUAGAGAGGUGCAUUGUGGGAGUCAGGUCCGGCUCGUCGUCAUAGCCAUUCGAGACAUUGCCAAAGGCGAGGAGAUCACCGUGGACUACAGCCUGACGGACUGGGGAGAGAAUGCCAUGGGCUUUCAUACUUCGGUGUCCCCGCGCGGGUUUGAAUGUGGAUUCAACCCAGAGAGCACCAUCAAGAAGGAGGAGGAGCCGGGGUCACUGCCUCUGUCUCUCACUGUUUCUGACUACCUCACUCCGUCCUGGUCUCUGUCUCCCUCCUCCUCUCUAUCUCGGAUUGAGCACAACCCAAUAAGCAGGUGAUUAUGUACAGACACGAGCUUAAAAUCUGUGAUGUAAUGAGCGUUUGAUCCGUGAUGUUAAGGCAUCAGAUCCCAAUUAGUCUGUGAAUUUAAGAGAUAUAACAACUGAUGAAGGGGAAAAACACAUGGCAUGAAGUGAAGGUGUACUUACAGAGUCACAGAAUAUGGAAAUACUGUAUUUGAAAGAUGAGGAUGGAUCUGUCAGUCAGGCUGUAUCAUGCGAUGAAGAUGACCUACAAAGUAAAACAAAAAAACACUGUGCCCUCAGUACAGGAAUAAAUCGUCAAAAGCAAAGCCA
ensembl:lncRNA